CUCCAGACCCUUGUGUGCAGGCAGAGGCAAGAACAACGGGUCAGGUGAGGGGUUCUGGGUGUCACAUUCCCUGGCAGAGCCCUCUGCUUUCUCCCUCCUCCUGUCACUGCCGGUGAAGGAGCAUCCCCUGACCCUCACUGGCUGCGCCAGCCGCCUGCUCCGCCUCCACCAGGAAGCAGUUCCAAGGGUUCAGGGCAGCAUUUCUGGGGCCAUCCGACACCAGCUUCCCUCAGAUUUGGGGCCAGAGCUCAGGUCACACACACUGCAGCAGGCAGUGCAGCUGCAGCCCUGCCACACGCAGGGCCUGGUCUGCCUGUGGGAUGCCCAAAUAACUCAGCUGAGGUCUGAGAGCAGUGCGAGCACUGCUACACGCAGCCAUGAGAGCCCCUCUGCUCUGCCUCCUUUCUGUCACCAAACCUAAAUAAGCACAGGCUAGCCCCACCAAGCCAGCGGUUUCAGGAGCCCGAGGGCCACAUUUCCAGCAUUCCUUCAGCCCUGGAAUUCAGGCCAGAAAUCUUAUCUGCACUAGAAAUCUCCACAAAGCCAGAUGCUUUGUUGCAACCCUGGCACGCCUACAGUCCUAACACCCCAGCCCAGCAGCACUGCUGCCAGCCCAGGGCUCUAUGCUCGCAUUUCAGACCAGUGCCCCUCCACUCUGCUUGCAGACAGCUUUCAGCGAUAGCUGCUAGGACAGCCUUGGUGUCAUCAACUUCCACCCACCACUAAUUCACCCAUGGCUGCUGCUGAGAGCUGCGUGCUCAGUUCUACACGCUGCCAUGGUUCAGUUCUUCCUGGUAACAUGGACCUUGUAACAGCUUACAAACACACGAUAACAUAGACAAACAGUAAGUCUAUGCUUCUGCACUUUUUUUCCUUUGCACAGGGCUGACGAGUUGCAGACACCUUGACAAACAGCUUUAGGCUCUUCAAAAAACAGCGAGCAGCAGACAAAGAGCUGAGCAGAGCAUGCCCCAUAUGGUCCUGCAUGGAAAAGGGCCAAGGCAGAAAAGCAAUUAGCAAGGUCUGUCGCUGAUCCCUCACGCUGCUGCGAGUCCGUAGGUCAGAAGGGACUGAUCAACUCUACCUAGCCUACAACUUCUGCAGAGCUACUGAAUUUGUUAAGAGACCUCCAAGCAUUUUUUUAGAGGCUUUUGCUGAUGGAGGCGCUUAGACUGUCUUGCACUCCACUGUUCUGUUACGGUGUAAUCAGCCUCCUGCUGCAGUCCUACCAGAAUAGACUCUUAUGACAGGAAUACCACAGUCAGAGAGUAAUUUCUAAUCGCUGUCCAUACUGAGGUCAGCCAGCACUGAGACAUCCUCCACUUCAUAAAAUGUGCUGGCAUCACUACCAGCAGCUGCUAUCUCCCUGAACCCAAAGCAGCCCAUUUCCCAGUAUGCAAUGUCACAUUUAAGGCCCUUUCUGUUCAGAGCUGUCUACAUCCAGCAGCUGCCCCUGCUCAUCCUCACUUCUGUUUAUCUGUCUGCCCCCACAAAGACCAGACAGGUUGAGGAAGGCUGGCCUUGCUGCAUCACCCCAGCCCCACACUAGUGUCAGUACCAUCUGAACCCUAUCAGGAACACAAGUCCUGUGGCACUGUUUGUAAAAGCAAUCGGAAGGGGGAGUGUCAGGCCAGCAGAUCUAAUCUCAAAUCCUCAUGUGUCCCUGAGGUGAGAGGUUUUCUGCCUGCUGAUAACAGCAAUUAGAUGACUCAGGUGGACCUGUGAAGAAGGACAUCCCCAAAGGAUGCAGGGAGAAUACUUAGUUGCCUCAUGCACUGUUUAGCAGAGAGCAAGGAACAGGAGGAUCAAGCAGCACCUCCCUCAGCAGGCAAGGCCCUGUGAUAGAUCUGCCACCUGUUAGACAUCCACACGGCUCUGAGUUCUCUGGCCCCAAGACAGCUUCCAGGAGCCAAGCUCCUUUCCUGAGGCAGUGUAAAGAGAAGGAACACAUAGAGGGAGAGAGAAGAAUGCCAUUUGCCAUCUCAGCUGGUAGAAAGCAGUUUGUUUUGGGGCACGCAGUAAAAGCUGUUCCAGCACUGCAGUCUGACACACUGCAUCUGUACUUCCCCUAUUUGCCAACUUCCUUCCAGCUGAAGGGGGGUAGCAGAGUGAUAGCCAUAGCAAAAAACAAAAAAAAAACAAAAAAAAAAAACCCAAAAAACCAUGGACCAUAAAGCAAACAAGAUGUAGGAGUUAUGCUUAUUUUCACCUUCCCAUACAGGAUGAUUCCAGAAAGUUCUCGCCACCUGCCCCCAAACUGCAAAUUUUCACAGUGCAAAGUCCUACCAGCUCUGCAAGCCACAAGGCAGAGCCUGCAGAAAAGCAGGAUGGGGGAAGGGGCGCUCGGAGCUACGAGCUUUUUCCACAUAUGCUGGCCUUGCCUCCUCCUCCCUGUGCAGAGGGAAAAGAACUCCAAAAAGCUAUGCAAACAUAUUUAAAACGUUAGGAAACUCUACGAAUUUACAAGCAGUUGCGCCAUCACUUUCUCAAGGCACUCCCAAAGAGACUGAAGCUCAUCUAUUAAACAAAUUUCAUGCACAAAGCGUCCCAGAUCCUUCUCUCGAGCACAUCUGGCGAAAGACUCCCAAGGUGUCUCGCUCAUCCAUGCCCACACAAAAGAGAGCUUGUCCCGACCGAGGGCCGGCAACACCCCCUCCUCCCUCUCCCUCCGCUCCAGCCGACUCCAUUGCACCAGCAGCGGGGAAAAGCCACUGCAUUCGCACUCUCAGAACGGAGCCGCUCUCCGGCAGAAGGGCAUCCCCACCCACACGAGCAAAUAGAUAAAUCGUGACCUAAAGGAGCCCUUCAGUCCAGGAGGCGUUUCCACAGGGCAGGCAGCUCGCCCGGCCCAAGGCAGCCGCCGCCCGGCAGCGCCAAGAGGACAGCAUUCCCCAGCCAGACACACCGCGCCGACCAAGAGCCCCUCACCGCGCCGAGAGACUCACCUCGGGGGGGGCGGGAAGGGGAACCACCGCCUCGGGGCGAGAGCCGGCGGGGCUGCCGGACCGGGGCCUCGGGCUGCCUCGGCGUGCCUGCCAGCAGAGGCAGCAGAAAUGAAGGGGGGAGCUGCUGAGUCCCGGCGCUUCCGACCAACUCUCGGAAAAGCCUCGCCCAGGCAAAGUUGUUUGACCAUAAAAGGAGAGAGGCUGUGCGAACAGCUGAGCUCACUCGCUGGGGAAUGUAGCAAUGAGUCUCAGUAAUAUUAUCGUGGAGCAGGAUCCUGGUCACCAUCUCUACCUGAGUGCCAUUAUUUUCACAUGUAUGAACUGAGGGAGCCAAGUAAAGAGGAUUGGCCUUUGGAGACUGCUAGCUUUCUCUUUUCGUGGCAUGGCAUGAGAACACAUUGAGUUGUAUGGGCAGAACAAGAUCACAUUUGCUUGGAGGCGUAUAUAGCUUGAAAGGAGCCAGCCGUCCAUUUAUGUCAGAUAUGUUACACCCUUUCAGAAGCUGAACCCGGCUGGUACUUCCUUUUUCAUUCUUUGAACCUCGUAGAAAGCUUUUGUCUCCUGCACUGAAGGAAGGAUCUCCAAGCAAGAAAGUAUGGUUGGACAGUCCCAACUCUGUCUUUUGUCAUGUAAGACAUGCUCAAGUCCCUUUCAUCAUCUUUGUGACCUUUUGUUGGACUCUCUCCAGCAUGUCCAUGUCUAUCUUGUACUGAGGAGCACAGAACUGGAUACAGUACUCCAGGUAGGGUCAUCUUCUUUGACCUGCUGGCAAUAUUUUGCCUCAUGUAGACAAGAAUAUUGUUCUUAAUGGCAAGGGCACAUUACUCACUCAUGUUAACUUGCUCACCACCAGGACUCCCCUAGUGGUCUUCUUCUGCAUAACUGCUUUCCAACUAGGUGGCCCCCAGUGUGUCCUGGAGCUUGAGGCUGUUUCUUCCCAGGUGCUGAACUGCACAUUUCUUCUUGUUGAAUUUCAUGAGGUUCCUGCCAGCCCAUUUCUCCAGCCUCUUGAAGUCCCUCUGGAUGGCAGCACAACCCUCUGUUGUAUCAGCCACUCCUCCCAGUUUUGUGGGAGCUGCAAAUUUGCUGAGAGCAUACUCUGCUCCAUAAUCCAGAUCAUUAAUGAAAAUGUUCAACAGGACUGGACUCUGUAUUGACCCCUGCAGUACUUUGCUCAUUACUGGCCUCCAGCUAGAAUUUACACCACUGAUCAUUGCACCUUUGUGAACACUUACAUUUACCAAGAUCUUUCAGAUCAGCAUUUAAAUCACCACUACACAAAACAUAUUUUGUACACACUUUCCACAUGGAAUUAUAACCUAAUUAUCUAAGAAAGUAUGUGCAGUGCUUAAAAAAGAUGUUCAGAACCUGACAGAAAGUGUAUUUCAAAGAAAAAAAAAACCCUUUUUUUUUAGUCAUUUACUUCCUGGCCCUUGCAGCAGCAGCUCGGGAAGAGCAAAGACAGAAACUGCAGGGGGAAGUUCAGCUUUACUCUGUUUAUGCUUUGUUUUAGUUCAGAGAUUCAGUCCUUUUGCUUUCCUCCUACAUGAUAAUAUUCAUAAAAUAUGCCUUGUACAGGAAAGACAUCACAGGACAUUAACAGAAAUGGCUUGAAUCUAGAAUUUCAUCUUGCUUCAUUUGAUAGAAAAAAGAGAAUCUUGCUGGUGGCCAUUUUGACACAAUCUUUGUUUGAAUCAAAAGUCAGAAGAGUGGAGAUGUCUCUUACGCACAGUAUAUGAGCAUGUUAGAAGUCAGUAUUUAACAAACUGAGCUAUAUCUGAUACCUGAGAUGCUGCUGUAUUUUUUCAGAAUGUAAACUCCUCUUACGCAAAUAAGAUAAGAAUUGCACUUCAAGAGAAUUUAGGAAAACAAGUUAGAUAUUGGCUUAUUAAAAACAAGAAAUUGUUCUCUGAUAAGCUCACAUAGAACCUACUCUAUGGAAGAGCCAAGCAGCUGUGCCGGAACUACUGACAGCCUAGCAAAGUUUUCGCAGCUUCACAUGAGAAUGAAUUUUACUAUUUAAAGUAGAUUUAUAUACAUAAGGUCUGUAAUGAAUAAAUGCAAGAGUAAGAACCAAAAGAUAAAGAUACUAUCCUUUGAUUAAACUGACUAUAUAUAAGAUGGCAGAUAAAGCAUGGCGGUGGAUGCUUGGGUGCUGACAGGCAGUAGUACUUCCACAGCUAAGUUAUAUUGAUUCCAAAUAAAAAAAAGUCUGUGGCAUCAGGACAUGUCAGACAGCCAUGAGGCAGGCCAGUAGUUUUAUGCAGUGAAUGAAUAGACACUUUGGUAUAAUUCAGUGGGAAUAGCGGACAUUCGCCAUCCUUGGAAGCAAGAAGUCCUCCACUUUGCCAGUUCUUUCUCUGCUCUGCUUGCCUGACACUUGCCUUACAGUAGCAUUAUCACUUGCCAGAUCCCUGUGUAAACUAUCAUGUCACUAAAGCAGCAGAAAACAAAACCAUCAAGAACUGGAAAGCUGAUUUUCAGGCACAGUAAGUGCUAGGAGUUGCUCACCUAUCUGUGGAAUCAUACCCUGAGGCAGAAGUCAGAACAGACCGAUGCAGAUUUUAUUGUAGCUUAAUGAAAGGAAAGCCAAAUCCACAGCUGCAAGGACCCAGGGUAUGACGCUGAGCUUGAGACAAAGUGAUAGACAAGGUAAAGUGUCAAGACCGGGAAAUAGAAUAAGGAGGCCACCACUGAAAAGGAGCCAGUCCAAAGAUCUCCCUGAGAUCAGAAAGGAGGUUCACAGAAUAACAGUUUUAGACUGUGGGUGGAGAGAAGGGGAUUAAAAUUGAAACAUGAAACAGGAGAAAGACUUAAGAAAUCGCCCACAGCUGUAUUAGUAAUACAUCUUCUCUAUGCAAGGAUAAGAUGCAAAAGCUGUUUGGUGGGGUUUUGGUAAGCCUCCUCAGGACAGCUGUCCUGAUCAAUCCAUGUGCAACAGCUGUCUGGGCAGUUGCUAGCUUACAAAACAUUUAUCUAAGACAGGCCUUGUGUCUUAAAAUACCACUUUUCCCAUUUCGAUUUGCUUUUGUUUCCCUUGUCCUUGCAUGUAGACCUGGAAGUCAAUAUGGAUCAGCUCUUCAGAGAAGUUGAACACCCCUUGUUGAACACAAAGUUCCACAAGAUCUACGGUUUCCCAGCAUUUUUAAAACUUAGGUUUCAAGAGUUCAGACACAUCAGGAAAAUAUUGAGUCAUUCAAAAAAAAAAAAAAAGGCAUGAAAGCUGACAGG